rnacentral:rRNA from 1 species
CAAUAGCGUAUACUAAAGUUGUUGCGAUUAAAAAGCUCGUAGUUGGAUCUCAGGCAUGGGCGCACGGUCCGCCUCGCGGCGGUCACUGUGUGUUUUGUUUCCCAUCCUACGCUUCCCGGUUAUCAGCCCAUGGUGCUCUUCGCUGAGCGUUUUGGGUGGCCGGAACGUUUACUUUGAAGAAAUUAGAGUGUUCAAAGCAGGCACGUCGCCUGAAUAAUGGUGCAUGGAAUAAUGGAAUAGGACCUCGGUUCUAUUUUGCUGGUUUUCGGAACACGAGGUAAUGAUUAAGAGGGACAGACGGGGGCAUCCGUAUUGCGGUGUUAGAGGUGAAAUUCUUGGAUCAUCGCAAGACGAACAACUGCGAAAGCAUUUGCCAAGCAUGUUUUCAUUAG